CCCCCUCACCAUCAACACACACACACACACUCACACACACACACACACACACACACACACUCAUACACACACACUAUUGUCCUGCUGCAGCACCGGGCCCAGCAGGCAGAGGCAGCUCAGGAGGAGGGAUUGUGUCUUGAUGUCCACGCACUGGAGGAGCUGCACCGUCAAGGCAUACCCACAACUGAUGACAGCCCCAAAUAUAACUACUCUCUUCGCCCCAAUGGGGAUUAUGGUGAGAACCUAGACCCAGACUGGUAGGCACAAGCUUACCUGACCUUGACUGGGAAGGAGAGAAAUGGUAGCCACCAGCCUCUUGCAUUGCCCUAAGUAGCCAGCAGGGGUCACUACCUCCUUCAUCCGGAAAACCCUUCUUCACCCUCUGAAGCCAGAUGCCUUUUCC
rnacentral:lncRNA from 1 species